UAGGGAAUCUUCGGCAAUGGGGGGAACCCUGACCGAGCAACGCCGCGUGAGUGAAGAAGGUUUUCGGAUCGUAAAGCUCUGUUGUUAAGGAAGAACGAGUGUGAGAAUGGAAAGUUCAUACUGUGACGGUACUUAACCAGAAAGGGACGGCUAACUACGUGCCAGCAGCCGCGGUAAUACGUAGGUCCCGAGCGUUGUCCGGAUUUAUUGGGCGUAAAGCGAGCGCAGGCGGUUAGAUAAGUCUGAAGUUAAAGGCAGUGGCUCAACCAUUGUAGGCUUUGGAAACUGGUUAACUUGAGUGCAGAAGGGGAGAGUGGAAUUCCAUGUGUAGCGGUGAAAUGCGUAGAUAUAUGGAGGAACACCGGUGGCGAAAGCGGCUCUCUGGUCUGUAACUGACGCUGAGGCUCGAAAGCGUGGGGAGCGAACAGG
rnacentral:rRNA from 1 species